UAGCCGUUGGGACUCUUGAAGUCUUAGUGGCGCAGCUAACGCACUAAGUAGACCGCCUGGGGAGUACGGCCGCAAGGUUAAAACUCAAAUGAAUUGACGGGGGCCCGCACAAGCGGUGGAGCAUGUGGUUUAAUUCGACGCAACGCGAAGAACCUUACCUGGCCUUGACAUGCAGAGAACUUUCCAGAGAUGGAUUGGUGCCUUCGGGAACUCUGACACAGGUGCUGCAUGGCCGUCGUCAGCUCGUGUCGUGAGAUGUUGGGUUAAGUCCCGUAACGAGCGCAACCCCUAUCCCUAGUUGCUAGCAGUUCGGCUGAGAACUCUAGGGAGACUGCCGGUGACAAACCGGAGGAAGGUGGGGAUGACGUCAGGUCAUCNUGGCCCUUACGGCCAGGGCUACACACGUGCUACAAUGGUGCGUACAGAGGGCUGCAAACCCGCGAGGGGGAGCUAAUCUCACAAAACGCAUCGUAGUCCGGAUCGGAGUCUGCAACUCGACUCCGUGAAGUCGGAAUCGCUAGUAAUCGCGAAUCAGAAUGUCGCGGUGAAUACGUUCCCGGGCCUUGUACACACCGCCCGUCACACCAUGGGAGUGGAUUGCACCAGAAGUGGUUAGUCUAACAUUCGGGAGGA
rnacentral:rRNA from 1 species